AUGAACGCUGGCGGCGUGCCUAAUACAUGCAAGUCGAGCGAACAGAUAAGGAGCUUGCUCCUUUGAAGUUAGCGGCGGACGGGUGAGUAACACGUGGGUAACCCACCUAUAAGACUGGGAUAACUUCGGGAAACCGGAGCUAAUACCGGAUAACAUUUAGAACCGCAUGGUUCUAAAGUGAAAGAUGGUUUUGCUAUCACUUAUAGAUGGACCCGCGCCGUAUUAGCUAGUUGGUAAGGUAACGGCUUACCAAGGCGACGAUACGUAGCCGACCUGAGAGGGUGAUCGGCCACACUGGAACUGAGACACGGUCCAGACUCCUACGGGAGGCAGCAGUAGGGAAUCUUCCGCAAAGGGCGAAAGCCUGACGGAGCAACGCCGCGUGAGUGAUGAAGGGUUUCGGCUCGUAAAACUCUGUUAUUAGGGAAGAACAAAUGUGUAAGUAACUGUGCACAUCUUGACGGUACCUAAUCAGAAAGCCACGGCUAACUACGUG
rnacentral:rRNA from 1 species